AUUGAACGCUGGCGGCAUGCCUUACACAUGCAAGUCGAACGGCAGCACGGGUGCUUGCACCUGGUGGCGAGUGGCGAACGGGUGAGUAAUACAUCGGAACGUACCUUAUCGUGGGGGAUAACGCAGCGAAAGUUGCGCUAAUACCGCAUACGCCCUGAGGGGGAAAGCGGGGGACCGUAAGGCCUCGCGCGAUUAGAGCGGCCGAUGUCUGAUUAGCUUGUUGGUGAGGUAAAAACUCACCAAGGCGAUGAUCAGUAGCUGGUCUGAGAGGACGAUCAGCCACACUGGGACUGAGACACGGCCCAGACUCCUACGGGAGGCAGCAGUGGGGAAUUUUGGACGAUGGGGGCAACCCUGAUCCAGCAAUGCCGCGUGAGUGAAGAAGGCCUUCGGGUUGUAAAGCUCUUUUGUCAGGGAAGAAACAGCAGCUCUAACACAGUCUGCGAAUGACGGUACCUGAAGAAUAAGCACCGGCUAACUACGUGCCAGCCGCCGCAGUAA
rnacentral:rRNA from 1 species